CCAACGGCCCUUUUUAGGGCCACUCUGAGAAAGAGCUCGUUUCUUU
rfam:Soboliphyme baturini genome assembly, scaffold: SBAD_scaffold0000598